rnacentral:rRNA from 1 species
GAUGAACGCUGGCGGCGUGCCUAAUACAUGCAAGUCGAGCGAACGGACGAGAAGCUUGCUUUUCUGAUGUUAGCGGCGGACGGAUUAGUACCACGUGGAUAACCUACCUAUAAGACUGGGAUAACUUCGGGAAACCGGAGCUAAUACCGGCUAAUAUUUUGAACCGCAUGGUUCAAAAGUGAAAGACGGUCUUGCUGUCACUUAUAGAUGGAUCCGCGCUGCAUUAGCUAGUUGGUAAGGUAACGGCUUACCAAGGCAACGAUGCAUAGCCGACCUGAGAGGGUGAUCGGCCACACUGGAACUGAGACACGGUCCAGACUCCUACGGGAGGCAGCAGUAGGGAAUCUUCCGCAAUGGGCGAAAGCCUGACGGAGCAACGCCGCGUGAGUGAUGAAGGUCUUCGGAUCGUAAAACGCUGUUAUUAGGGAAGAACAGAUGUGUAAGUAAAUGUGCACAUCUUGACGGUACCUAAUCAGAAAGCCACGGCUAACUACGUG